GUCAGAGUCCAUCAGAUGAGCUUCAUAACCUAGAACUUUAUGGAAUUAAGUUUGUCUGUCUUUAGGCCACGCCCAAGGCAUGCAGAAAUUCCUGGGCCAGGGAUCGAACCCGCGCCACAGCAGCAACCUGAGCCACAGCAGUGACAACACAAUGCCAGAUCCUUAACUCACUGGCCCACUGGGAACGCCCAGAAUUAAGAUUUGAUGGUAGGAGUGAGCUCAGGCUCUUAAGUUUUAACUGGAUUUUUGCACUUACGUGUAGGUACUCUCUUUAUGGCCUGUGUGAACCAGAUGUGUGUAACAUAAAUAAGAUAUGGUUUCUGCCCUCAAAGAGCUCACAAGCCAAUAGGAGAGAAAGACAGGACCCAGAUAAAAGCACAGGAGGGGAUGGGUUUGGAUGAAUUUGCAUAUGAUCAAAAGGAUGACUGGAUAGCCCGGGGUGGGGGUGGGGGAGGAUAGCAAGGGUGACAGCAACAAAGAAGUGUCGGGAGGCCAGUGGGGGCCGGUUUCGGGGGCCUCUGGUCAGGAUUAGGGAGGCUUUGAAGUAUUUGAAGCAAGAGUGACAUGCUCUGGGGUGGGUGUGUGUGUGUGUGUGUGUGUGUGUGUGUGUGUAAGAAUAUUAAUGCGGCAGCAGAGUUAUAAUUGGGCUGGAGAGCUGUGGAUCGAGGCUGAGACCAGUUCGGAGAAGACUGCCAUCUCUGGGAAGGUGCUGGAAGGAAGGGACCCCAGAGGUUUCAAAAGGAUCCGUGCAGACAUGAGUCAGCGAGACAGAGGGAUGACGCUCAGACUUUACGGAUGAAUUAUGGUGUAACUCAGCGGCGGCGGCAGGCCAUCUUUUUAAAUUUCAGCUUUAUUGAGGGAUAAUUGCCACAUAAAACUGUGAGAUAUUUAAAGCGUACCUUGUGGUGAUCUGGUGUAUGCAUGUCUUGGGCAGGGACUCCCCCUAUCUGGCUAAUUAGCACCCCCAUCACCUCGCAUGCUGAUCUGUUUUGGGUGUGAGAACAUUAAAAUUCUGCUCUCUUGGCAAAUUUCAACUAUACCAUACAGUGCUGCCCACUCGAUUCAGCAUGUUUUAGAU
rnacentral:lncRNA from 1 species